AGUGAACGCUGGCGGUAGGCCUAACACAUGCAAGUCGAGCGGCAGCACAGUAAGAGCUUGCUCUUACGGGUGGCGAGUGGCGGACGGGUGAGGAAUACAUCGGAAUCUACUUUUUCGUGGGGGAUAACGUAGGGAAACUUACGCUAAUACCGCAUACGACCUACGGGUGAAAGCAGGGGAUCUUCUGACCUUGCGCGAUUGAAUGAGCCGAUGUCGGAUUAGCUAGUUGGCGGGGUAAAGGCCCACCAAGGCGACGAUCCGUAGCUGGUCUGAGAGGAUGAUCAGCCACACUGGAACUGAGACACGGUCCAGACUCCUACGGGAGGCAGCAGUGGGGAAUAUUGGACAAUGGGCGCAAGCCUGAUCCAGCCAUACCGCGUGGGUGAAGAAGGCCUUCGGGUUGUAAAGCCCUUUUGUUGGGAAAGAAAAGCAGCAGGUUAAUACCCCGCUGUUCUGACGGUACCCGAAGAAGAAGCACCGGCUAACUUCGUG
rnacentral:rRNA from 1 species